AAUCAACGCUGGCGGCGUGCCUCAGACAUGCAAGUCGAACGCGAAAUCCCGAGCAAUCGGGAGAGUAGAGUGGCGCACGGGUGAGUAACACGUAGGUAAUCUACCUUCGGAUGGGGAAUAACAACCGGAAACGGUUGCUAAUACCGCAUAAUGCAGCGGCACCUAAUGGUGACAGUUGUUAAAGCGGGGGAUCGAAAGACCUCGCGUCUGAAGAGGAGCCUGCGGCGGAUUAGCUAGUUGGUAAGGUAAUGGCUUACCAAGGCAACGAUCCGUAACCGGCCUGAGAGGGCGGUCGGUCACACUGACACUGACAUACGGGUCAGACUCCUACGGGAGGCAGCAGUCGGGAAUUUUGGGCAA
rnacentral:rRNA from 1 species